rnacentral:rRNA from 1 species
GACGAACGCUGGCGGCGUGCUUAAUACGUGCAAGUCAACUGAACUUGAGGUAGUAAUAUUUCAAGGGAGGUGGCGCACGGGUGAGUAACACGUAGGUAAUCUGCCUUUAGGUCUGACAUAAUCCCGCGAAAGCGGGACUAAAAUCAGAUGAUGCAGCGGCUCGACAUCGAGACAGUUGUUAAACCUUCGGGGCCUAAAGAUGAGCCUGCGUCUGAUUAGGUAGUUGGCGGAGUAAAAGCCCACCAAGCCUGCGAUCAGUAGCUGGUCUGAGAGGACGACCAGCCACACGGGGACUGAGACACGGCCCCGACUCCUACGGGAGGCAGCAGUGGGGAAUUUUCCGCAAUGGGCGAAAGCCUGACGGAGUGACGCCGCGUGUGGGAUGAAGGCCU